rfam:Myotis lucifugus cont2.15744, whole genome shotgun sequence.
GGUGGUUCUCGGGCGAUGCACCCCAGAAUCAGGCUCCCUCCUCUCUGGUUCCCGGUGCAUCACCUGAGAACCUCA